AAUGAACGCUGGCGGCGUGCCUUACACAUGCAAGUCGAGCGAGGCGGGUAGCAAUACCCAGUCGAGCGGCGAACGGGUGAGUAACGCGUGGAUGACCUGCCCUUCAGUGGGGAAUAACCCGGGGAAACUCGGGCUAAUACCGCAUACGACCGAGAGGUGAAAGAGGGCUCGCAAGGGCUCGUGCUGAAGGAGGGGUCCGCGUCCGAUUAGCUAGUUGGUAGGGUAAAGGCCUACCAAGGCGACGAUCGGUAGCCGGCCUGAGAGGGUGAUCGGCCACACUGGAACUGAGACACGGUCCAGACUCCUACGGGAGGCAGCAGUGGGGAAUUUUGCGCAAUGGGCGAAAGCCUGACGCAGCAACGCCGCGUGGAGGAUGAAGGUCUUUGGAUUGUAAACUCCUGUCAGCGGGGAAAAAGCGACUCGGCAUAAUACGUCGGGGAGUUGAUUGUACCCGCAGAGGAAGCCCCGGCUAACUCUGUGCCAGCCGCCGCUGUAACAC
rnacentral:rRNA from 1 species